rnacentral:rRNA from 1 species
AAAGAUUAAGCCAUGCAUGUCUAAGUAUAAACGAUUUAAUCGUGAAACCGCGGAUGGCUCAUUAUAACAGCUAAAAUCUACUUGAUCUUGACACAAUCCUACUUGGAUAACUGUGGUAAUUCUAGAGCUAAUACAUGCAUUAAAGCUCUGACCUCACGAGACGAGUGCAUUUAUUAGAACAAAACCAAGCGGCUUCUGCUGUUUUCGGUUGACUCAUAGUAACUGAGCUGAUCGCAUGGUCUUGCACCGGCGACGUGUCUUUCGAGUAUCUGCCGUAUCAACUUUCGAUGGUAGUGUAUCUGACUACCAUGGUGAUCACGCGUAACGGAGAAUAAGGGUUCGACUCCGGAGAGUUCGCCUGAGAAAUCGCGAACACAUCUAAGGAAGGCAGCAGGCGCGAAAAUUACCCACUCUCAGCACGAGGAGGUAGUGACGAAAAAUAACGAGACCGUUCUCUUUCGAGGCCGGUCAUCGGAAUGGGUACAAUUUAAACCCUUUAACGAGUAUCUAUGAGAGGGCAAGUCUGGUGCCAGCAGCCGCGGUAAUUCCAGCUCUCAAAGUGCAUAGAAUUAUUGCUGCGGUUAAAAAGCUCGUAGUUGGAUCUGUGCCUAUUGGACGGGGUCCACCUUCUGGGUGCGUACUCCGCUCCGAGGCUUUUUGCUGGUUUUCCCGUCGUAGCCUUGAUCGGUUGCGGCGGGUGGCUGGCGAGUUUACUUUGAGAAAAUCAGAGUGCUCAACACAGGCGUCUAGCUUGAAUGAUUGUGCAUGGAAUAAUAGAAAAGGAUUUCGGUCCUCUUUUAUUGGUUUUGUGGACUGAGAUAAUGGUUAAGAGGGACAAACGGGGGCAUUCGUAUCGCUGCGUGAGAGGUGAAAUUCUUGGACCGUAGCGAGACGCCCUACUGCGAAAGCAUUUGCCAAGAAUG